GCGGGCAUAGUUUAGUGGUAGAACGUUAGCCUUCCAAGCUCAAGAUGGGGGUUCGAUUCCCCCUGCCCGUU
rnacentral:tRNA from 1 species